GGUUUCCUGGUGUAAUGGUUAUCACUGCGGAUUUUGAUCCAUGACGAUCAUGUAGCUAAAUUCCGCCAAUCUGGGUUCGAUUCCCAGGGAGACCU
rnacentral:tRNA from 1 species